rnacentral:tRNA from 1 species
UGACUUCGUAGCUCAGUAGGUUGGAGCGCUGCAGCGGCAUCGCAGAGGUCAUGGGUUCGAAUCCCGUUGAGUCAC